CAAUCCUCUGCACUGCCUCGGCGCACCUCCCAGCACAGCAGGGAAAGCACUGAUGUUUGGAGGUGCAAAGGGACUGGAAGAAGGGCCUUCGAAGUAUGGCCUCAGAAAACACCAAUAGGUAGCCUGGGACAUUGGGACUGGAAGAAGGACCUUCGAAAUUUUGCCUCUAAGAACACCAAUAGGUAGCAUGGGACGGACUGGAAGAAGGACCUUUGAAAUUUGGCCUCAGAGAACACCAAUAGGUAGCAUGGUGCAUUGGGACUGGACGAAGGGCCUUCGAAAUUUGGCCUCAGACCAAUAGGUAGCAUGGGACAUUGAGACUGGAAGAAGGACCAUCGAAAUUUGGCCUCAGAGAACACCAAUAG